CCCAUAAAAGGCAGCGAGUGGGUAUUUUGUCACCAUCCUGGAAUGUUAUCAAAGGUGGUGUAGCUAAUGGAGGACUCUGUAGAAGCCAAAAGGUCACUAGAAGCAGAAUCCCCCAAGGCCUCCAGGGGGCAGGAGACAAACUGGAGAGAGACCCAGGUGGGUGAACUCAAACCAGUAAACCCCUUCUGAGGGGUCCAACCCAAGGAUGCCAUUCCAGAAGGUCAAACCACCCAUUAGACCAGGGGUAGUCCAAGGCGAACAAGGGGUAGUCCAAGGAGACACAAUACCACCAAUGGGACCACCGGGCACCUUGAAAAACUAGAGUAGGACUCGCAGACCACAGUUCAGCCACUAUUCCACAACUGAGUUCAUCCCCUGACCUAGGAAAGAUACUCGAAGCACCAGCCAGUAACUUGUGACUCCUGUGGGCAGAUAAGACAUAUGAGGAGAGAGUGCCCUGUUAUGGGAUGUGAACAUGCACAGAGCUGGAAGGCACAAGCCUGUGCUCAGAAAAAGACUCUCUUCUCUCUAAGACAUUGAUGGCACCAGUGAUGGCCCAAGGGAAGAGGAUUCAAUAUACCAUGCUGUGGAAGUUUGUUUUGUAUACUCACCAUCCCAUUCCGAUUUUUGGACAGGUUCCUAGAUCCAGAGAAUGUAGAUGUCAUGGGAAUUUGUGGUCAUGGAGGGAGACCAUUCUCUCAGUUAUCUAACAAUAUAGUAGGGUUUGAAUACGGAGGCAGAGACCUGGAACUAUACUAUGGGUUCAUCACAGAGCCAGUGCAGAAAGCAGAACACAAGGAUACUGUGUUCAUGAUGCCAUGUGUUAACUAAACAGGCAGGCUGCUGUAACUGGAGCUAUCCCUAAAUAAAGGGAGUUGAGAUCAUCAAGCCUAGAAGUCACAAAUGCACCCUGCAGAGGGUGCAUUUUCCCGACAAGCUGCAGGUGGAAAUAGCCUUUGUUUUGUUUUUUUCUACCAUGGCUAUUUGGGCAUCCAACAGCAUUCAGGAGUCUGAAAGAACUUAAGGCUGCUGCAGACCAAUUUAACUAACUGAAGGUAGAAUCUCUUGAUAGUGGAGGAUGUUAAAGAAGGAGAUCCUACAAAGCACUUUCCUCUUGCAACCAGCAUCUCCCUUCAGUUUUGCCUGAGUUCAGGUGCCAAACUCAGGUAAUCACUGACCAAGCUAAGAUAGGGUGCAGGUUAUAUUUGGAGGAAAAAGAGAGGGUAGAGGUGGGUCUCCUCUGACACUUCAGCCCAUGAUGUCUCACCAGCUCUUCCAGCAGUCUCUAGAACUGUAUAAUAUAGUAGAAAGAACUGAGCUCUGUAAGACUCUCCUAAUGGAAGAAAAAUUGCCUAUAAACAACCUUUCAGUUUGGUCUGAAAGGAGACUUGAGCUCCUUCAGAGAGUUUCCAAUCACUCUUGCAGCUUUUUGGAGUCAGGAUGUGAGGUAACACUACCAAAUGUUACACAGAGGUAUAGCAGGAUAAGUAUUGAUAGAGUUCCCUUGUCUAGAGAUAGGAGGAGGUCAUUUAUGGGAGCAAAAAGUGCUGCCUCAGUAUCAUAAUGUGGCCUGAGGUCUGACUGAGAAGGAUUCUGGGAGCUGACAGGUUGUACUGGAGACUAUUAUCUGCUACCUCUCAAUUAACUUGCUUAGAAAAAAGAAGUUAGGCCUGGGGUGGUCUCUGGUGUUGAACAAGAGUUUCUUUAGUACAAAACAUACUAAUGCAUAUUUUAGCCAGCAUGAGAUUAAAGAAGGUGUUGACAAUCUGUGUACUGGAGAGUCCCAGGUGUUUUCCACUCUGCUACAAUCCACAAAGUGCAGGGCUCAGAGGCUACAUCUCCUUUUCUUCAAUUUUGAUUGCUCUGGUCUCUGUUUUCCCAGUGUCUGACAGAGGUAAUGAUCUGAAUAGGAAAAGUUGGAUUCAACUCAGAUAAGAAACUGUCAGGAGGACUGGGGCUGUAAGCUUGGAGCUAUGACAGUUCAUCUCAGAUGAGGACCUUGCCAGGCCUUUGUAAUCUCAAGGCUCUACAUAGUGCUAUUUCUGAAAAGCACCCAGAAGCUUUUCAGUGCAGCCAGUCUCUUGUCUCCAGAAUGGACCAGGCCAUAUAAUACCAACAGUGACUAGGCCAGCCAUGAUGACAUAUGGUUCAGAAUGCUGGCCAAUGGGGAAGAGAGAAGAACAGCUGCUUCAUACUGCCGAGAUGAAAAUGCUCAGGUGAAUGCUGAGUAAGAUGAAAAUUGAUAGACUAUACAAUGAAAUGAUGCAAGCCAUGGUGCAGGUACCCUCCAUCCUGGAAAAGCUGAGUGAGAGUAUUAACUGAAAUGGUUCAGUCAUGUGAGACAAUGAGACACAGGAUAAGUUGGCCAGAGAGUACAAGAUCUAAUAGUCACGGGACAAAGACUAGGAGGAAGACCCAGAAAAAGAUAGUCGAGGUGGUGAAGGAGGACAUGAAGAAUGUCAGUGUCAGAUUGGAAGGCACACUUGACAGGAAUGCUUGGAGAUGAAGAACAAGAGCUCAGGACAAAGCAAAAAAGACGACUUAAUUUCUGCAAAUUGCCUACAUGCUAAGGAGAUGGGCAGUGUACCAAAUCUUAAAGAACUAAUUAAAGAAUAAUUGACUGGU